rnacentral:rRNA from 1 species
AUUGAACGCUGGCGGCAGGCCUAAGACAUGCAAGUCGAGCGAGAAAGCCCUUCGGGGUGAGUACAGCGGCGGACGGGUGAGUAACGCGUAGGAAUCUACCUAGUAGUGGGGGACAACUCGUGGAAACGCGAGCUAAUACCGCAUACGCCCUACGGGGGAAAGCGGGGGAUCUUCGGACCUCGUGCUAUUAGAUGAGCCUGCGUAAGAUUAGCUAGUUGGUGGGGUAAUGGCCUACCAAGGCGACGAUCUUUAGCUGGUCUGAGAGGAUGAUCAGCCACACCGGGACUGAGACACGGCCCGGACUCCUACGGGAGGCAGCAGUCGGGAAUAUUGCGCAAUGGGCGAAAGCCUGACGCAGCCAUGCCGCGUGUGUGAAGAAGGCCUUAGGGUUGUAAAGCACUUUCAAUUGGGAGGAAAAGCUAAUGGUUAAUAGCCAUUAGCCCUGACGUUACCUUUAGAAGAAGCACCGGCUAACUCCGUGCCAGCAGCCGCGGUAAUACGGAGGGUGCAAGCGUUAAUCGGAAUUACUGGGCGUAAAGCGCGCGUAGGCGGUUUUUUAAGUCGGAUGUGAAAGCCCCGGGCUCAACCUGGGAAUUGCAUCCGAUACUGGAUAACUAGAAUGCGGGAGAGGGAGGUAGAAUUCCAUGUGUAGCAGUGAAAUGCGUAGAUAUAUGGAGGAAUACCAGUGGCGAAGGCGGCCUCCUGGCUCGACAUGACGCUGA